rnacentral:ncRNA from 2 species
AUUCGUCUUCAGGGGCAGGGUGGAAAUCCCGACCGGUGGUAAAGUCCACGAGCGUUAAGCUGAACUGGUGCAACUCCAGUACCGACAGUAAAGUCUGGAUAAAGAAGAUGAGG